CAUCACUAGAAAUACACAAAUUUGAUGAUUCUCUGUUCUGAGCCAAAGCUGUUAUGAUCUUUUAACAGUAAAACCCCUUGAUGAUCACUUCCAGAUCCCUUGUUGGAGGCGAGGUGAUCUCUGAAUUUGUCAUCAAGUUGGAGAAGACUAUUUUGGGUCACACAAGUCUACUUCAUGUCCUUCCUCCGAAUCAGCCCUAGAUAAGAUUUGAAUCCACAUCUACCUCCUAGCAUGGAGAUAUAUUGCCAAUAUGGAGAGGCAGUACCAGAGGCUAAAGCAGCUGCAGAAACAGAGGGCUUUUGCAGAUAUGACUCUGGUAUCUCACAGAUACUCCAGGAUCUGCAUGGAUUCCGGGCUGGCCUCUUUAUCUAAUCUACAUGAGUUGCAACCAGCAGUCUUCCCAUGCCACCAGUGAAUUAUCAGAAUUCUGAAGGGACUGUUGCAGAGAUUUCCUUCAUCAGAGCAACCUUGUGUGAGUUUUUCUAUGGGAGGGCUGUCCAGUCCAUUGAGUCUCUGGGGCAAAUAUUGAGAUACGAGCAAGUUUUCAAGUGGUGAAAAAUAUUUUUAUUAAAUGUCACUAUCUUUGACUUUCCUU